rnacentral:rRNA from 1 species
UAGGGAAUCUUCGGCAAUGGGGGGAACCCUGACCGAGCAACGCCGCGUGAGUGAAGAAGGUUUUCGGAUCGUAAAGCUCUGUUGUUAAGGAAGAACGAGUGUGAGAAUGGAAAGUUCAUGCUGUGACGGUACUUAACCAGAAAGGGACGGCUAACUACGUGCCAGCAGCCGCGGUAAUACGUAGGUCCCGAGCGUUGUCCGGAUUUAUUGGGCGUAAAGCGAGCGCAGGCGGUUAGAAAAGUCUGAAGUGAAAGGCAGUGGCUCAACCAUUGUAGGCUUUGGAAACAGUUUAACUUGAGUGCAGAAGGGGAGAGUGGAAUUCCAUGUGUAGCGAUGAAAUGCGUAGAUAUAUGGAGGAACACCGGUGGCGAAAGCGGCUCUCUGGUCUGUAACUGACGCUGAGGCUCGAAAGCGUGGGGAGCGAACAGG